AGGACAGGGGGGUCUCCGUCCACCGGAUGGAGCCUGUACUCGCAACGGGCGUGCCCCUCGGCACGCACGAGUGGUUGUCGCUCGGGGGUGCUCUCAC
rnacentral:sRNA from 1 species